rnacentral:lncRNA from 1 species
CAUUGAGCAUGGUUGGUUGCUCUAGGACAGAGAAUCCAAACAAUCAAGUAGUGGAUCAUCCUCUCUUCAACUUUGAAACCUCCAACUAGUAGUUGCCUUCUAUUUGUUUGCCUCUCGGGAUGUCGCAGAAAGGAUUGGAAAGUUAGCAUCCUGUUGAAGUCUUCAAGUCCUAAAUGGACUUUGACAGCAUCAUCCCAGAUAGGAAGUUGAGCAACAUUUGUCCAAACGUCAUCAUCUAAAAUGAUGC